GGGUCCGUGGGGUAGUUUGGUAUCCUUCCAGCUUUGGGAGCUGGUGACCCCAGUUCAAAUCUGGGCGGACCCA
rnacentral:tRNA from 1 species